rnacentral:rRNA from 1 species
UUCCGCUUGAUCCUGCCGGACCCGACUGCUAUCAGAGUGGGACUAAGCCAUGCGAGUCAACGCCGCAAGGCGUGGCAUACGGCUCAGUAACACGUAGUCAACAUGCCCAAAGGACGUGGAUAACCUCGGGAAACUGAGGAUAAACCGCGAUAGACCAAGGUUUCUGGAAUGAGCCAUGGUCGAAACCUAUAUGGCCCCUGGAUUGGACUGCGGCCGAUCAGGCUGUUGGUGAGGUAAUGGCCCACCAAACCUGUAACCGGUACGGGCUUUGAGAGAAGGAGCCCGGAGAUGGGCACUGAGACAAGGGCCCAGGCCCUAUGGGGCGCAGCAGGCGCGAAAACUCUGCAAUAGGCGAAAGCCUGACAGGGUUACUCUGAGUGAUGUCCGCUGAGGGCAUCUUUUGGCACCUCUAAAAAUGGUGCAGUAUAAGGGGUGGGCAAGUCUGGUGUCAGCCGCCGCGGUAAUACCAGCACCCCGAGUGGUCGGGACGAUUAUUGGGCCUAAAGCAUCCGUAGCUUGUCCUGCAAGUCCUCCGUUAAAUCCACCUGCUUAACAGAUGGGCUGCGGAGGAUACUACAGGGCUAGGAGGCGGAGAGAGGCAAACGGUACUCAGUGGGUAGGGGUAAAAUCCUCUGAUCCACUGAAUACCUCCAGUGUAUUAAGGAAGGUUUGGCAACAAGCGCUCGAAGGAGAAAGGAUGAACGGAUGGGCUGAACAAGCCUCAUAUUUAAACGAAAUCUAAUCCAGCUAUUAGGACAGGCGAAAUCUGGAAAAACCUUUAAGAUAGAACUGAAGACUGAAAUGAAUUUUGAUACUUAAAAACAUUAAUGGAAACGCUGAUCCUG